rnacentral:lncRNA from 1 species
AUACCACAAAGUUUUAAUGUAUUUAUUACAUAAACAAGUUACACAUAAGAAGAAAAUACUAAGAAUACAAUAGACAACACAAAGGACAUAGGAAAUAAUAUAAUGUCAGUGAAUAUAUAUAAAUGUUUAAUCUCACUAGUUAAAAAAAAAAAGCACAUUGAAAGAAUAGUGGAGGCCAGGUGCAGUAGCUCAGGCCUGUAAUCCCAGCACUUUGGGAGGCUGAGGCAGGUGGAUCACAAGGUCAGGAGUUCAAGACCAGC